rnacentral:rRNA from 1 species
CACGUAGUUAGCCGUCCCUUUCUGGUAAGUUACCGUCACUGUGUGAACUUUCCACUCUCACACACGUUCUUCUCUUACAACAGAGCUUUACGAUCCGAAAACCUUCUUCACUCACGCGGCGUUGCUCGGUCAGGGUUGCCCCCAUUGCCGAAGAUUCCCUACUGCUGCCUCCCGUAGGAGUCUGGGCCGUGUCUCAGUCCCAGUGUGGCCGAUCACCCUCUCAGGUCGGCUAUGUAUCGUCGCCUUGGUGAGCCGUUACCUCACCAACUAGCUAAUACAACGCAGGUCCAUCUACUAGUGAAGCAAUUGCUCCUUUCAAGCAUCUAACAUGGGUUAAAUGCUGUUAUGCGGUAUUAGCUAUCGUUUCCAAUAGUUAUCCCCCGCUAGUAGGCAGGUUACCUACGCGUUACUCACCCGUUCGCAACUCUUCCAACUUUAGCAAGCUAAAGUCUUCAGCGUUCUACUUGCAUGUAUUAGGCACGCCGCCAGCGUUCGUCCUGAGCCAGGA